UCGUGGCAAUGUUUUUUUCUGAAAGCACCUGCAGAAAUGUAUCUUCUUUCUAGUUUCCAAAAAACUCAGAGGCCAUGGGGGAAGAGGGGACUAUGGCUGUCAGAUAGUGCAUGAGGUACAUUAGGAUACAGUAAUUUCAUCAUAAUUCAUAUUCAUAAUUCACAGUGAGGAAACCUGAAAGUUGCUACCAGCUACCAAUAAAUGAAAGGUGGGGCGGGGUCUCUGGGGGGCACGGCUUUGUGAGCCAGUGCCUGGACUCCCACGUGACAAAUGGAAGGGCAGCGCGUGGAGGGAACUCAAGGCCUGAUUGGUUCUUCCUAAGCAGGACACGAUCUCGUUGGCAGGGCAACCGGCCUUUAGUUGGUGGCCUUCAGUGGGUGGCUUAAGUUGGUGGCAUUUGGUUGCCUUUCCUGGGGAGAGGCGGCAGGUGCUCAGCUCUGCAGACGUGGGGGCAAGAGAAGGCCCAAGCUGCCUCGAGAAGAGCAGAGGUGCCCCAUGGGGACCAUGAUGACCGGUCGCAUGUGCCAAAGCCAGCCCCCGGCAGGGCCAGCGCAGGGUUUCUGCGGGGCCGUCCUGUGGCUCUGAUAUCUAUGAGUGGGUGGCCAGCAAAGGCACAGGCACCAGCAGAAAGGAGCAGAGAUGCCCAGAACAUGCUGUCCCCCAAUGCCAGCCCCAAGCGAGGCCAGCUUAGGGUGCGGUGGGCAGAGCCAUCCUGCAGCUCUGAGAUCCACGAAGUGGAGGUGGGAGUAGCGCCAGGCUCCACGGCGUUGGAGCUCUCACAACUUGAGCUCAAUUUUAUUCCGGAGCCAUGACCUGCAGCACAUUGGUGACCAGAAGACGCCCAAAGCUUUGAAAAUGGACUUAUCGACCUCAAACCAAUGGGACAUAUUCCUACAUGGCCUUCUCCCCUGUUAGGGUUCCCAGGGUAUGUCUUUAAUGUCUGGUUUAAUAGAAGAAGACUUGGUUCUCCUUUCUGCUUCUAUGUUUAAUUUCUUGUGACAUCCCACGUCA
rnacentral:lncRNA from 1 species